GUGCCAGCAGCCGCGGUAAUACGUAGGUGGCAAGCGUUGUCCGGAUUUAUUGGGCGUAAAGCGAGCGCAGGCGGUUUUUUAAGUCUGAUGUGAAAGCCUUCGGCUCAACCGAAGAAGUGCAUCGGAAACUGGGAAACUUGAGUGCAGAAGAGGACAGUGGAACUCCAUGUGUAGCGGUGAAAUGCGUAGAUAUAUGGAAGAACACCAGUGGCGAAGGCGGCUGUCUGGUCUGUAACUGACGCUGAGGCUCGAAAGUAUGGGUAGCAAACAGGAUUAGAUACCCUGGUAGUCCAUACCGUAAACGAUGAAUGCUAAGUGUUGGAGGGUUUCCGCCCUUCAGUGCUGCAGCUAACGCAUUAAGCAUUCCGCCUGGGGAGUACGGCCGCAAGGCUGAAACUCAAAGGAAUUGACGGGGGCCCGCACAAGCGGUGGAGCAUGUGAUUUAAUUCGAAGCUACGCGAAGAACCUUACCAGGUCUUGACAUACUAUGCAAAUCUAAGAGAUUAGACGUUCCCUUCGGGGACAUGGAUACAGGUGGUGCAUGGUUGUCGUCAGCUCGUGUCGUGAGAUGUUGGGUUAAGUCCCGCAACGAGCGCAACCCUUAUUAUCAGUUGCCAGCAUUAAGUUGGGCACUCUGGUGAGACUGCCGGUGACAAACCGGAGGAAGGUGGGGAUGACGUCAAAUCAUCAUGCCCCUUAUGACCUGGGCUACACACGUGCUACAAUGGAUGGUACAACGAGUUGCGAACUCGCGAGAGUAAGCUAAUCUCUUAAAGCCAUUCUCAGUUCGGAUUGUAGGCUGCAACUCGCCUACAUGAAGUCGGAAUCGCUAGUAAUCGCGGAUCAGCAUGCCGCGGUGAAUACGUUCCCGGGCCUUGUACACACCGCCCGU
rnacentral:rRNA from 1 species